AAAUGCUGAACUUUUUUCAUAGUUGAAUUUGUCAUUAUCUAUACCUUAUCAUCACAAUGGGCAUUGAAUUGGUUGUUGCAGGUUUUAAAAUUUCUCUAGUGUGAUGGAGUGAAAGUGCUUGAAAGAUUCAGUUCAUGGAAGACAGACAGAGAGGUAUAUGUUAGUUGUCAUUUGGUUUUGUCUGUCAUUAUUUACCUUUUUAUUUUUUUGUUUGUUUUGGAGAACCUUUUGCUAGGAGAGUUGUGAAGGAUUUGAAUUGUAUUUUGUUAGGAGUGAAGAGAGAGAAAGACAUUUGUAUAGG
rnacentral:misc_RNA from 1 species